CUUGACCUAUAACUCACCUGGCACAAAGUUGGUGCCAUUUCCCUUGAAGUGGCCAGGACAUGCUGACAGCUGUGGGAUUUGUUUCAUGUGCAGCUGCUGCCAGGUGAUUGCACUGCACCAUCAUGGCCUUCUGCAGAGAAGCACAGCUGCAUCCUCACCUUGCCUGAUGCAUCCAAACUGUACAGCUGCUGUUCAUUCCCACCUCCCAAGAUGGACUUUGAAGGACAGAAGAACCUGAGGAUGUGGUUCAGGAGAAGGUUUUGACCUGAUGCAGUCAAAAUUCUCAAAAAUGAGCAAUAUUUUAGCAACUGAAACUCUGAAAAGGAUAAACUGAAUAGCCUCAAGCCUGCCUAUGUCAGCAAAGGGAGAAAAGGAUUUUACUUCGCAGCCAGUUAUCUGAAGAGCUGUAACUAAGGCUGGAUAUCUGUGUCCCCUCAUGCCACAUUAUUGCCACAUUAUCUUUCUUAACAGAGCUUUCUUCCAUAUGAGACAAGAGUGUCUCCAGGGGACAGAGAGGCCCAGGAAAGAGCUCUUGUUCAUGCCUGGGGAUUCAGGAUCAAGAAGGCUGUGCCCUCUUUCCAAGCAAUGAUGCCUGUUGAAUAUUCUCCGUUGUGAGUAUAAUCCCCAAAGCUAAGGGAGUACUGAAGUCAUUUCUCCCCUCUCUGCCCUCAGCAAGACUGAACCUCUGGAGAGGAUAUAGUCAUUAUGUUGGUCAUGCUAAUGUAGUGCCUACAAGAGGAAGCAUUCUCUUGAAACAUUAGUAAAGCUCGCAGAAUGGUGAUCAGCAAGUGAAAUGUUGGAGAACAACACUUCCUGACUCACCAGCAGUGCUAAUGCAAUCGGAUGAAUGUCUACAUUUUAAAAGACAAAAAUAGUUUACAGACUCUUUUGAAGUCUAAAGGCUUCCAACCACAAACACAGAAACACCCCUGUAAUGUAUCUUUAUCAGUUUUGCCAGCUGAAUUGUGAGCAAUACAGACAAUAGAAAACUGUAGCCAGGUCUUCAAUGACUGUUCCAUCACAGUACUAAAGUCUCAGUCAAAGUGUAAAGUUCAAAAGGUGAUAUGACUGCAUCUUUGUGAGAUCUUUCACGGGAAAGAGAUGUGCUUGAUAGUGUUUUGUCUUACAUGUUCUCUCACUGCUUAGCUGCAAAAAUAGCUGGUAGUUCAGGUAUUUAUUAUUUUUCUGCAUAUGGAUUGCACCAGAUUUUUCUGAUCUCUUUGGCUCUCAUCCAGAUGGAUGAGUUUUGAAAUAGAUUUUUCUGGCCCGCAUGAUUUCAUCUUGAGCUGAAUGAAAAAGUACAAAUAGCAUUGAACAAACCCGGUUCUUGUUGCUUCCCUUAUCUCCAGCUUAUGAUGGCUUUUAGACUUUGUCAGGGUCAGGCCUGUAUUCUGUCUGUGGCCCAGCAGUCUUAAUUUCAAACUAAGUGGAUGACAAAUCAAAAAAUAAUGUUGUAUGAAACAAUAAGUGAUAGCAAAAUCCCCCAUUGAAAAUCAAACUUUUGCUUAUGAUGUUUAAAUCUCAGAGCUGAAACAGACAUUUACCCCAUUCUCUUUUCUGUCCUGAGUAUACAUAUUAUCCUUCAGCUGAGAUUUUUUUAUUGAUGAAAGUUUAUUUAAAAAGACUGGAUUCUGAAGAAAAUCCAAUUUAUAAGAUAAAUCAUAUUCAAGCUCUAAAAAUAUUGACAAUAUUUGAUUCUGAUUUUGAUUUUAAUCAUAUGUUUCCUCUGUAUUCUGUUAGUGAACCAUGUCAACAUAUAUUGAUUUACAUAUGAAAAAGCAAAGUACUGAUUCAUGGUAAAGGUCAACAAUGCUGAAAUAGAUCUUACUGGCAUGCAAACCUAAUAGUUACUAUGAGUAGACUGUAGCACAUUUAACAGGGUGACGAACAUGAGAACAUGUAUCUAAUCUGGUGGUUUUGCCCUAUCUCUCUGUCUACAAUAACUGAACAAACAAAUAAAUGAUAAAAAUCACACCAAAGUGUUCAUCUACCAGCAAACAGAGUGAACUUCUAGUUCCAGAAGAAAAUACUACUCAACCAAUAAGGUCUUAAAAGAUAAU